rnacentral:rRNA from 1 species
GUGGGGAAUAUUGGACAAUGGGCGAAAGCCUGAUCCAGCAAUGCCGCGUGAGUGAUGAAGGCCUUAGGGUUGUAAAGCUCUUUUACCAGGGAUGAUAAUGACAGUACCUGGAGAAUAAGCUCCGGCUAACUCCGUGCCAGCAGCCGCGGUAAUACGGAGGGAGCUAGCGUUGUUCGGAAUUACUGGGCGUAAAGCGCGCGUAGGCGGUUUAUCAAGUCAGGGGUGAAAUCCCGGGGCUCAACCCCGGAACUGCCCUUGAAACUGGUUCACUAGAAUCCUGGAGAGGCGAGUGGAAUUCCGAGUGUAGAGGUGAAAUUCGUAGAUAUUCGGAAGAACACCAGUGGCGAAGGCGACUCGCUGGACAGGUAUUGACGCUGAGGUGCGAAAGCGUGGGGAGCAAACAGGAUUAGAUACCCCAGUAGUCC